ACUCGCCGGCGAUGUACCAGCCCGCAGCACUGCAUGAAGAGGGGGCAGAACGCAGUCAGAGCGUGGCUUCACCAAGCUGUACUGUGCCUCGUCGUCUCGUCACGGCCACUGUCCAUUUCUUCCCACCUUCCACUCCCAGGUAAUUUGAGAUCUUCUUUAAGGGGGCUGCCUACUGGCAAAAAUCUAGAAAAGGUAGCAUUUCCCUUCCCAAAGGAACUAUUACUAACGAGGAGUUUUGCCUGUCCAGAUCAUCAGGGUUUCUGAGCAAGGCUUUUACCGAAGCCAUGCUCAACUCCGGAGAUUUCAAACCUCAGAGCCUUGCAUUUCACCAGGCUGCAGUAUGCUUCUUUGGAAGGGAGGAGGCCUACCCUGGCUGCUGUUUAUGUGACUGUUUCUGAGAACAACGCUGCUCCUGCUGCUGCUUGGCUGUUACAUCGCCCUCCUCACUACGCACAGACUGGCAACAGCAUCGUUGAUUCACUGGUACCUCUGUAACAUUUUGGGCAUAUCUGAUUUGCUCUCUUCUCCCUCCUCCCCUUCCACUGACAAAUGAGUGAGUCUAGGCUUUAAUUCACUGUGGAUUCUUAGGACUGUGGAGCCACCCUGUACACUGUGAGAUGCUUUGUCCUGCAGUAUGUAUUUCAAAGGAAUUGUAAGGAAGAUUGCUGGAGUAGCCUCGGGACCUGACUCACUCAACCACUGCGGCUGUACAGUUUUUUUCUGCUUGUUGCCAAAGAUUCAUUUUUCUACAUUGAAGCAUGUUAAAUAAACACAGCUCUGGCAGGCAAA